CGGAUCGGAGUCUGNAACCCGACUCCGUGAAGCUGGAUUCGCUAGUAAUCGCGCAUCAGCCAUGGCGCGGUGAAUACGUUCCCGGGCCUUGUACACACCGCCCGUCAAGCCAUGGGAGCCGGGGGUGCUUGAAGUGCGUGACCGCAAGGAGCGUCCUAAGGCAAUACCGGUGACUGGGGCUAAGUCGUAACAAGGUACC
rnacentral:rRNA from 1 species